GACGAACGCUGGCGGCGUGCUUAACACAUGCAAGUCGAGCGGUAAGGCCCUUUCGGGGGUACACGAGCGGCGAACGGGUGAGUAACACGUGGGUGACCUGCCCUCAGCCCUGGGAUAAGCCUGGGAAACCGGGUCUAAUACUGGAUAUGACUCCAUGACGCAUGUUGUGGGGUGGAAAGCCUUGUGCGGCUGAGGAUGGGCCCGNGGCCUAUCAGCUUGUUGGUGGGGUGAUGGCCUACCAAGGCGACGACGGGUAGCCGGCCUGAGAGGGCGACCGGCCACACUGGGACUGAGACACGGCCCAGACUCCUACGGGAGGCAGCAGUGGGGAAUCUUGCGCAAUGGGCGAAAGCCUGACGCAGCGACGCCGCGUGAGGGAUGACGGCCU
rnacentral:rRNA from 1 species